AGUGAACGCUGGCGGUAGGCCUAACACAUGCAAGUCGAACGGCAGCACAGUAAGAGCUUGCUCUUACGGGUGGCGAGUGGCGGACGGGUGAGGAAUACAUCGGAAUCUACUUUUUCGUGGGGGAUAACGUAGGGAAACUUACGCUAAUACCGCAUACGACCUACGGGUGAAAGCAGGGGAUCUUCGGACCUUGCGCGAUUGAAUGAGCCGAUGUCGGAUUAGCUAGUUGGCGGGGUAAAGGCACACCAAGGCGACGAUCCGUAGCUGGUCUGAGAGGAUGAUCAGCCACACUGGAACUGAGACACGGUCCAGACUCCUACGGGAGGCAGCAGUAGGGAAUAUUGGACAAUGGGCGCAAGCCUGAUCCAGCAAUACCGCGUGGGUGAAGAAGGCCUUCGGGUUGUAAAACCCUUUUGUUGGGAAAGAAAAGCAGCAGGUUAAUACCCCGCUGUUCUGACGGUACCCAAAGAAUAAGCACCGGCUAACUUCGUG
rnacentral:rRNA from 1 species